GGAUUUUUAGAGAAAGUAAAAUCCACACGCGUUGGAUUUAACUUGGCAAGUUUGAAUUUCGAAACCCAUUCAAAUGAACUUCAAAUGGGUUGAAAUUAUAGGAGGUGACCCUACACAAUAGAUGUGAUUUAUGGGCAGAUUUGGAACAUUAAUGGGUAGAGUAAAAUUGCAACUCAAUUUUACUAAAAGGACCCAAAGGAAGAAAAGAAGUUGAGUAGGAUAAAAGGAAAUUUGAAGAACGGUGCAUAUGUGUUAUGGGUGAUUCCAAGCCAAUGGAAUGGUUUAAUAUAGCUCCCUAAAUAUUAGGAGGAUAUGUUUUAAAGAGAAACCACCAUGUGAGUUCCCUCAAUUUAAAUGGAUCAAAGAUCCAUGCAAUUUAUUUAGCUGAGUUUUAAAAAGGGUUGCAUGAUGACAUGAUGCAAUGCAAAUGACGCAAAGAUGAAUGCAACGAACAAAACAUCUCACACGGCGAAUCUCGUAAUCCAUGGAAGGCAUCUGGAGCACCGGUCUCGGGGCGUUACAACACUCCUCCACUUACAAGAGAUCUCGUCCCGAGAUCUAGGAAUGGCACCGGAGGGAAACGGAAGAGGAAGAGAAGAGGUAAAACUAAGUUGCUUCUUUGACAAACACGUGAAACCAAAGAACCUUGCGAGGUUGAACAAAUUGAAAGAAAGAAUACAACGAAGAUGAACAAAGUUGAAAACACUAUGUUAGAAAAGAGUAACAAGGAACAUUACGAGAACCGUGUAGGUUGAAAGACAUGAAUGAAGAGCUCCAGCGACAAGGAAGGACAUGUAACCACUCCAGUUGAAACGGAAUAAGCAAGGAAUGAGAACGAAAGAAAACAGACAGCACUCUGGUAGAAAAGAGAUUUAAGACUUGAUAAGAUGAAAAAAAAAACUUGAGCAGAGGACACAACACUCAUGUUAAAUGGAUAAGCAAGGAAAAGAACAUGAUAUUUACAAAAUGAGAUGAUGGGUCAAAGAGAGCAACAUCACAAUGCCUCCGGAACAAAUGAAUGGAGAUGGUUGGAAAGAAAAGAACGGAGAAGAAGAAUGACAACUCUGCCAAUUAAAAUUGAAAGAGCAUCCUUCCAAGAAGGUUAGAAGAAGUUGUUGGAAAACCAACAACGAAAAGAAUAAAUUUGUUGUGGGCUUAUGAGAACAUCUCAAAAUUAUGAGGUGACAACCGGCCACUAACGAAAAAUAAUUGAUUGCUUGAGAGCAAAGAAGAGAUGAAAACUUCUUUCAUCGAGAGGAUAGGAGAAGACUUGGAUCAUAGAUAAGCACCACAAUAACAACAUUCCUUAGGGAAGGCUGUAGGUGAAAUAUAACCCAAGAUAACUCCAACAAGGAGAUUAAUUGGUUGAAAAGAUCCCUUGAGCGAAGAGAAAAUGAUGGAUUCAAAUAUGUCACUCUUGAAAACUUGUGAAUCAUGAAACACGAAGGGAAACUAUCAACAAUGACAUAACACCACCUCAAAAGAUGAGAUAGGAAGAAGUGCACUUCGGAUGCAAGAUGAAGAAUGCUUGAACUCCUCAAAAUACAACAUGUCCUGAAAACCAUGUUUAUUUUAUGGUAAAGCUUGGCGGGUCAUAACUUCAAGAAAAAUCUUGAAGAACAAUUGAAGAAUGAAAGGAAUGCUUGACGAACCACCAUGUAGAGCCUCCAUGAAGAACUCCAGUAAUAAAAGGAUGAUAGAAAGAAAGAGAAGUUGAGAACACAAGGUGAAGCCUUGCGAUGAUUUAGAAGGAGCUUCGCGAUGAGAUGAUGUAGAAAAACUUGGAACUCCGGAAAAGAAAAGAUGGAGCAUCUCGAACCGAGAAAUGUGACAUGAUGAACAACUCUGGAAAGAAGAAAACUAGAUCACUUGGAUGAAACAGUAAUAAGAAUUACGUUAUGCGUAUCCUUCACCAAUUUAAAUUGAUGACAAGCAACGGAUUUGGCAUACUACUUAUUCUCGUAGAAAGGAUUAAGAGAGAUAUAGCACAAACUUGAGAAAAGUCUUCAACGAUCCGCCGGUAGGAUUUGGAAAGAACGAAUGAAUUGAUACGAUAACAACAGAAGAGAAUUCUUGAAUGAACCACCGUAAGAAUUGAGAAUGAAAGUAGCAAAGGCACAAUUCACCGGGAAGAAUUGGAAAACGAAUGAAGAUACUUGAGGGUAUUUAGAUACAUGAGAACGAAGUGAUCAAGAGCUGACUAGAGGAUACUUGAACGAUUCACCGGUAAGAUUUGGAGAACGAGAGAUGAAAGCUGGAAUGAAUAAUUAUGACAUGAUGGCCUUCGGAGGAAAGAAAUGGGAACAACUCAUGAAAUGCUCUGGAUGGGUAAAAAGAAUUCUCACAAUCGAAAAUAAUUAUGAGAGGAUGGCAUCAAGCUUGAACUUCGCAUCUUUGGAAGAACGGGUAAGGAUUUAAGAGGAACUCCUCUUCGGUCUUCAAAAUCUGAGAAUGAUGACGAGAAACACCACCAUGAAUUGUUGAGGCACUCCGGAAUGAAAGUUAGGAAGGUUGAACCAACGAUGAAAAGAAUUUGAAAGAUCUUGGAGAAAGACAUUUGACUGAUGAUAAUUCAUUCUUACGUCAAAAUUUGAAAAGAAUUUGGGAAUAGCUCCGGGAAAAUUAGAAGAGUCAGGUAAGAUCCUGGGAAAAGACCUGUGGGUUAGGGCCCACUCAAAAGAUACACCGUUGAACGAUUUAAAAGAGAGAUUGCGUCGGUUCAAUUAACUUGAAUAAGGUAAGACCUCGAAAUAGCUUGAAAGGAAUUCAAAUAGAAACUUGAAUCUUCUGGGAUAUCUUCAGCACUCCGGAACAAUUGAAUAGCACGCGAAGAAUGAUUAAGAGUUGCACCGGCAUGAGAAAGCAUUUGAAACGAGGAAAGGAAUGUGAUCAACACUGAAGGCUUGAAUUUAAUCUACCGGAAAAGAAAAAGAAUGAAGAAUGAUGAACUUGAAGCUCCAUUAGUAUCUUCCUGAGAAUCACCGGAUAAGAACAAGGAGGAAAAGAAUGAAGAGACUUCACAUCAAUAAAAAGGAUACUUGAUUAAGAAAUCUGAGUCCUUGAAGAAAAGGGUGGGAGGGUGGGAAAACAAAGGCAACUUGGGUCGGAUGAAACGAACACCGUCGAGAAAAAGCUUAGAAUUGAUCUUGCGAAUGUUAGAAUGAUCGGAUUUACUUGAAGAGAAGCACGCCGGUUGGAAAGGAUUGAAAAGACAACCUUGAUGAUCAAGAAGGAUUAGCAUCCACAUAAAAAAUAUGAGAACACCGCUUAGAAUAAGGUAUGGAAUCAACACUUGACAUUGAAGCAACUCGAAUACCACAACUUAAAACAAAACAAAGGAUUGGCUUGCAAAAUAAGCCAGAAACAAACAUAUGAUAGAUCCCAUAUCGUAUCAUGUGUCUGUUGGAAAGAUAUUCUAGGAGCUACUUGAAUUCCCACCUAUAAACUCCCGAAACUUUCUGGUUAUGCAAUCCGGUGUUGGCGAUACAGGGGACGCAAUAUAUCUCACCCAAACUAACAAUCCCUAGAUCCAGUUGUAUCCAUCCGUCAACACAUAACCAAGAAAACUCCGGAAAUCGUGGACCUCAACCUUCGAAAAGCAUCCGUUAUACGAGUUAUGGCAAUACUCCCGAACUCCCGCCCCGGUACUGGGUGGCGUCGAGGUGAUCUCACCAACAAAUGCAUAAAAGAGAUUUUCGAUGUCGGCGAAACUCAGGUAUUCCAGAACUGCAACGAUAAAAUUGUGACGACAACACCUCGGAGCUCAACUCCCCGGGACACUGCCACAACCCCUAAAUGGCAGGAGGCACCAAGAACAAUGUUCUCGUCACAAAACCAUCAGAACGAUUCCAAGAUACCCGCGUGAUCCUAAAAAUAAAUUUAGUGAAAUUUGAGGAGAGGAAAGACAAAACAUCUACGUCAGGAGGCCUCACCAGAGCGAUGAAGGGACUGAGGGGUAAAAAGAAUCCUACUCUCCGAUAUAUAUAAUCCUAAGACUCGAAACAUUUUGUUCUAGACUCAACAAUGUUAGCGAUUCGAUCAAGCAGGGGGCUCCUAAGUCGGGGAUGGCUCUGAUACCAACUUGUAACGCCCACGAUGCGGCUAUAUCUCCCACGUGUCGAGGCACGACUUGGAGGCAUAACCGGAUGGUGGUUUUGUCGCAAGAAGGGUCAUCUUCACACAAUCCCAUGUAAUGAACAAGAAUGGGAUAAAGAGUUGGCUUACAAUCGCCACUUCACACAAUACAUAAAUUAAACAUACAUCAUUCAAGAUACACACAUAGACCGACUACGGUCAAAUCCAAAAGAAAAGAAGAUAACCCCAAAUGCUAGAUCCCCGAUCGUCCCAACUGGGCUCCACUACUGAUCAACCGGAAAUGAAACAUAGUAACGACCAAGGUCCUCGUCGAACUCCCACUUGAGUUCGGUUGCGUCACCUGCACUGGUAUCAACGGCACCUGCAACUGUUUUGGUAGAAUCUGUGAGUCACGAGGACUCAGCAAUCUCACACCCAUGAGAUCAAGACUACUUAAGCUUAUGGGUAGGAAAGGGGUAAUGAGGUGGAGCUACAGCAAGCACUAAGCAAAUAUGGUGUCUAACAUACGCAAAUAAGAGUGAGAAGAGAAGCAACGCAACGGUCGUGAAGCUAGAAGUGAUCCUAAAACUACUUACGUUCAUACAUAACCCAAAAACCGUGUUCACUUCCCGGACUCCGCCGAAAAGAGACCAUCACGGCUACAACGCAGUUGAUGUAUUUUAAUUAAGUCAAGUGUCAAGUUCUCUACAACCGGACAUUAACAAAUUCCCAUCUGCCACAUAACCACGGGCACGGCUCUCGAAAGUUUAUACCCUGCAGGGGUGUCCCAACUUAGCCCAUCACAAGCUCUGACGGUCAACGAAGGAUAUUCCUUCUCCGAGAAGACCCGAUCAGGCUUGGAAUCCCGGUUACAAGACGUUUCGACAAUGGUAAAACAAGACCAGCAAGACCACCCGAAUGUGCCGACAAAUCCCGAUAGGAGCUGCACAUAUCUCGUUCUCAGGGCACACCGGAUGAGACAUCCUACGAGUAAAACCAAGCCUCAAGUUUCCCCGAGGUGGCCCCGCAGUCUACUCAGUUCGGACCAACACUCAGAGGAGCAUUGGCCCGGGGGGGUUAAAAUAAAGAUGACCCUUGAGUCUGCAGAACCCAAGGGAAAAAGGCUUAGGUGGCAAAUGUUAAAACCAAGGUUGGGCCUCGCUGGAGGAGUUUUAUUCAAAGCAAACUGUCAAGGGGGUCCCAUAAAUCCCCAACCGCGUAAGGAACGCAAAAUCAAGGAACAUAACACCGGUAUGACGAAAACUAGGGAGGCAAGAGUGGAACAAAACACCAGGCAUAAGGCUGAGCCUUCCACCCUUUACCAAGUAUAUAGAUGCAUUAAUUAAAAUAAGAGAUAUUGUGAUAUCCCAACAUAUCCAUGUUCCAACAUGGAACCAGCUUCAACUUCACCUGCAACUAGCAACGCUAUAAGAGGGGCUUGAGCAAAAGCGGUAACAUAGCCAAACAACGGUUUGCUAGGAAGGAUGGUUAGAGGCUUGACAUGGCAAUAUGGGAGGCAUGAUAUAGCAAGUGGUGGGUAGCGUGGCAUAGCAAUAGAGCGAACAACUAGCAAGCAAAGAUAGAAGUGAUUUUGAGGGUAUGGUCAUCUUGCCUGAGAUCCCGCUAGGAAGAAGAACGAGUCCAUGAAGUAGACGAACCAACAUAGUCGAACGGAUCCUCACAAACGCAACGUUACCGGACUAUCGAGAAGAAGCGCAACCGGAAAGAAGGAAACAUCAUGGUAAACAACCAUCACAUAAACAUGGCAUGAUGCACAAUCAAUCAUGCUGCAUGUCCGGUUUAAUGAGGCAUGGGAUGGCAAAGUGCACAAACAAUACUACAAAUUAAGUGUAGCUCAAUAUGCAACGAGUUGCAUAUUGAUGGAACACCACCUCAAUUAUUUAGUUCUCUCUAGUUUUUGUACCCAACAAUAUUAAAUGUUAUUAAACAUGGCAAGGGGUGAAACAUAAGUAAACUAACUAUUUAGGCAAGUUUAAAUGAGGCCGGAACAACAAACAACAAUUCCGGAAAAUCCCCAUAUGCAUAUUUAGCAAUUUAAUGGAAACAACAAAUAUAAACAUUUUAAAUGUUGUUAUCAUGAUGCGGAUGACAUUUACAAGUUUUAUGCAAUUUAUGAAAAUGUUGACAUAAGCAUGUUAUGAAGCAUUUGUCACCGUGGUGGAAGAAAUGGGUGCCACGGCAACGAAUCCGAAAAUGAUGCCACGGCAACAUAUCGGUUCCGGUAGCUCAUGGAGAUACCGGUGCAAAAGGAAGCAUGGCAUGAGUGUGGCAUGCAAGCUGUGGGGUGAUCCCGGUUACCGGGUUCCCACGAGAUGAUGGCAUGGCAACGAGGAGGAACAUGCAAGCGACAAUUUCGAACACGGUGCAAACGCGGGCAUCUCAUGCAUCGCAAACAUUCGUUCUCGAAAGGUCAUCUCGGCGGUUAUACCUUUGAAGCGUGCAUUUUCAAAACGAAUCCAGUUCGUCGAAGGAAGUAGUGGUACACGGGCCAUAGUGGAAGUAGUCGUUCUCGCGACGGUAGUGGAAGUAGACGUCCACGGGUCAUCGUGGGAAGUAAUCGUACACGGCGACGGUAGUGGAAGUAGUGGCACACGUUCGUUUUCGGAGAGGUACUUGACGGGUCCGAGGUCUCCGGCGUAGUGGUACACAUUUCGGAAGCGGUUCACGACGAUGGUAGUCGAACUUGGUGAUCCGAAGGGGUACUCGGCGAAUGACGACCGUAGUGGUACUUGGGGAAAAAUCUCGGAGACGAUGCUUGGCGGUCCUUGUGUGGCCUUGGCGUCCAUUGUAGUCGAUCUUGCCGGCCUUGACGGUCCAACACAAAACAACACAAGGGGCCUCGGGAUGCCAGCAGCAAGGAGGCGAUGGUGGUGGUCAGCGGCAGGAGAUGGUCGGCAGCUUGAGCGGAGGCAGGCCGGAAGGGCGCUGGCUGGGCCUUGCAGCAGAAGCAGCCCACGCAUGCGGCUGCGCGGGCGCUCGGUCAACGCUGGAGGCCAGCGAGGCAGAGGAGGUCGGAUGGGCCGAAGGCGCUCAGGAUCGAGCUCCUCUCGAUCCAGAGCAUGGUUGCGGGCGCGGGACAGAGGUUGCGCGCGCGGAGGCAUGAUGGAGGGUUCCGGGGUCGAGCAUGAGCUCUCCUGCGUGAGCUGCAGCCCUCGCUUGUAGGCACCGGCUUCCGACCGGCGUGACGCAUGAGGAGGCAGGGCGUGGGCGGAGAAGUCCCAGAACGGGACGGAGAUGACGGGUUCAAGGCGGAGGUAGCCGGAUCCGACGAGGAACUUGACCAGAGCGGUGGCCUUGUUGUGGUUGAGGACGGCACGGCUCGCCGGUGACGAGGAAGAAGCAGGGGCGGCAGAGCGGAGCACACAUCAACUCGGACGGUGAGGCGAGGAGAAGCAGAGGACGGGAAGGCUGGCGAGGCUUUGGGCGGACGCGUUGACGGGGCGCCAUGGGGAGGCGACAACGCGAAGGAGGGGAGGCUGCAGGGGCAACGCUGGUCGUCGACGAGGGCGACGGGGAGGUCCGGUGGCGCAGCACCAAGGGCGGCGAGGAGGAGGUCGGGCGUGGGGAGCUUCUCUUCCUGGCUCGAUGCGUGUGGUGGCGGCGCUAGGAGGAAGGAGGGGAUCGAGAGAUGGGGAUCGAUCGAGGGGGCUAGGGUUAAGGACCGGUGGGUGCGGCUGGGCCUCCAGGAGCAAAUGAGCCGGCCUGAGUUCUUGGCUGGGCUGCUCUCUUCUAUUCCCUCCUUCAACCCUCUUCCAUAAACAGAAAAGCAAAGAAAGAAGGGGAGAGAAAAGAAAUGGGUGGACAAAGAAUUUGGGCAUGGGGAUUAUUUUCCCAGACUCACAAAAAUACGCAGAAUUUGACAAACAUGGCCUGAGGAUUUUUAGAGGAAGUAAAAUCCACACGCGUUGGAUUUAAUUUGGCAAGUUUGAAUUUCGAAACCCAUUCAAAUGAACUUCAAAUGGGUUGAAAUUAUAGGAGGUGACCCUACACAAUAGAUGUGAUUUAUGGGCAGAUUUGGAACAUUAAUGGGUAGAGUAAAAUUGCAACUCAAUUUUACUAAAAGGCCCCAAAGGAAGAAAAGAAGUUGAGUAGGAUAAAAGGAAAUUUGAAGAACGGUGCAUAUGUGUUAUGGGUGAUUCCAA
rnacentral:lncRNA from 1 species